UCGGGGGAGAUGUUGAAUGUUGUAGUUAUUUGAUACUGGUUCUUUCUCCUAUGAUUUCAUUUGUGUUAGUGUAUUUGCCUAUUGGUUAAAAAAGUAUUUAACUAACUUUUUUUUAAUUAAUUUCCUAUUUUUUUCUCAAAAGGGGAAUGUUUUGCGGGGAUUUAGAGGGGACAGGGUUUAAGUUUAUAUACGUGUUAGAAAAAGAAAGGGGCCGCAUCCUAGCCGGGGCGCAUAAAAAUCAGAAAAAACAAUCUUACGGUUUAGAUUCAGAAUGAGUAAUUUAAGCGCAUGACCUCGUUAUCAUUGGAAACCCCCCCUCAAAAAGGGACCAGAAACUUCUACCACCUCUUAUAUCAAUUAAUUAUUAGAGGAACCUCUUGCCCUUUUCUUCGGUCAAAGAAACCUUAACAUCAAACACAUUCGCUUAGAUCUUCUGCUGAAAUUCUUCUUUGCUAAUGGAGGCGGCGCGAUCGAAAGUUCUUAGAGAUGUUCUAGCUAUUUGGAGAGCUAAAAGAUCCUGUCCGCCAAUUAAUGCUACAGCAGCACAGCGAGCUGCAACAUCAUGCAAGUGCUGCCACAAGCCGGAGGAUAAGUUCCGUGAACUAGAACGUGCUAAGCUACGUGAAGGUAAUAAACGAUGAUGUUGUCAAUUCUGAGGCCAAGCUCCAUACCAUGUUUGUGAAGUGGCUCGCGUAUAAUGAACACAACCAUUUUGAUCUGGAAGACCCCAAAGCUUUUAGAGAGAGGUUUGGUAUUUUUAAGGGCACUGCUCGGUUCUUAGAGAUGUUAUAGCUAUUUGGAGAGCUAAAAGAUCUUGUGGGAAUGUUUUGCGGGGAUUUAGAGGGGACAGGGUUUAAGUUUAUAUACGUGUUAGAAAAAGAAAGGGGCCGCAUCCUAGCCGGGGCGCAUAAAAAUCAGAAAAAACAAUCUUACGGUUUAGAUUCAAAAUGAGUAAUUUAAGCGCAUGACCUCGUUAUCAUUGGAAACCCCUCUCAAAAAGGGACCAGAAACUUCUACCACCUCUUAUAUCAAUUAAUUAUUAGAGGAACCUCUUGCCAUUUUCUUCGGUCAAAGAAACCCUAACAUCAAACACAUUUCCUUAAAUCUUCUGCUGAAAUUCUUCUUUGCUAAUGGAGGAGGCGCGAUCGAAAGUUCUUAGAGAUGUUCUAGCUAUUUGGAGAGCUAAAAGAUCCUGUGGGAAUGUUUUGCGGGGAUUUAGAGGGGACAGGGUUUAAGUUUAUAUACGUGUUAGAAAAAGAAAGGGGCCGCAUCCUAGCCGGGGCGCAUAAAAAUCAGAAAAAACAAUCUUACGGUUUAGAUUCAGAAUGAGUAAUUUAAGCGCAUGACCUCGUUAUCAUUGGAAACCCCCCCUCAAAAAGGGACCAGAAACUUCUACCACCUCUUAUAUCAAUUAAUUAUUAGAGGAACCUCUUGCCCUUUUCUUCGGUCAAAGAAACCUUAACAUCAAACACAUUCGCUUAGAUUUUCUGCUGAAAUUCUUCUUUGCUAAUGGAGGCGGCGCGAUCGAAAGUUCUUAGAGAUGUUCUAGCUAUUUGGAGAGCUAAAAGAUCCUGUGGGAAUGUUUUGCGGGGAUUUAGAGGGGACAGGGUUUAAGUUUAUAUACGUGUUAGAAAAAGAAAGGGGCCGCAUCCUAGCCGGGGCGCAUAAAAAUCAGAAAAAACAAUCUUACGGUUUAGAUUCAGAAUGAGUAAUUUAAGCGCAUGACCUCGUUAUCAUUGGAAACCCCUCUCAAAAAGGGACCAGAAACUUCUACCACCUCUUAUAUCAAUUAAUUAUUAGAGGAACCUCUUGCCCUUUUCUUCGGUCAAAGAAACCUUAACAUCAAACACAUUCGCUUAGAUCUUCUGCUGAAAUUCUUCUUUGCUAAUGGAGGCGGCGCGAUCGAAAGUUCUUAGAGAUGUUCUAGCUAUUUGGAGAGCUAAAAGAUCCUGUCCGCCAAUUAAUGCUACAGCAGCACAGCGAGGUGCAACAUCAUGCAAGUGCUGCCACAAGUCGGAGGAUAAGUUCCGUGAACUAAAACGUGCUAAGCUACGUGAAGGUAAUAAACGAUGAUGUUGUCAAUUCUGAGGCUAAGCUCCAUACCCUGUUUGUGAAGUGGCUCGCGUAUAAUGAACACAACCAUUUUGAUCUGGAAGACCCCAAAGCUUUUAGAGAGAGGUUUGGUAUUUUUAAGGGCACUGCUCGGUUCAUCAACCAACAUAACAAAAGCGGCUCUCCCACCAUUUGUGGAUUAACCCCUUUUGAAGAUUUGACUCUUGAUGAGUUUGGAAGUAGUUCGUGGAAGACCUAUCCGAAGAAACCUAACCAGGUUAUAGCUGGUAUACCCGAGUGCAUGGAUCAGAAAGCUAAUUAACUAACCAGGUCGUAGCUGCUGGUAUUGCUGUGUUUGGUCUUAAUAUGAGUGUGGGAAGUUUCUAGUUAUUUAUUUUGAUGUAUUCUGCUGUUGGACGAGUAGUAGUAGUUUAGUAAUAGCAGUAGUAGGUCUUGAAAUGGAACUCUUUGUUGAAACUUGAUUGCAUCUUCUCUGGCUGUAAAUUCUAGUAUUGGGUUUCAGACCUUUUUUCUAUAAAAUUUGUUGUGCAA